rnacentral:rRNA from 1 species
CCUACGGGUGGCAGCAGUGAGGAAUAUUGGUCAAUGGACGAAAGCCUGAACCAGCCAAGUAGCGUGAAGGAUGAAGGUCCUAUGGGUUGUAAACUUCUUUUAUAAGGGAAUAAAACGAGGCACGUGUGCCUUUUUGCAUGUACUUUAUGAAUAAGGAUCGGCUAACUCCGUGCCAGCAGCCGCGGUAAUACGGAGGAUCCGAGCGUUAUCCGGAUUUAUUGGGUUUAAAGGGAGCGUAGAUGGGUUUUUAAGUCAGGUGUGAAAGUUUGCGGCUCAACCGUAAAAUUGCCUUUGAUACUGGCAGUCUUGAGUAGGAUUGAGGUAAGCGGAAUUCGUGGUGUAGCGGUGAAAUGCUUAGAUAUCACGAAGAACCCCGAUUGCGAAGGCAGCUUACUAAGCUGUGACUGACGCUGAUGCACGAAAGCGUGGGGAGCAAACAGGAUUAGAUACCCUUGUAGUC